rnacentral:rRNA from 1 species
CAAAGGUUUGGUCCUGACUUUUCUGCCAGCUCUAGCUAAACUUACACAUGCAAGUAUCCGCAUCCCCGUGAGAAUGCCCUGUAGUUCCCUGCCCGGAAACAAGGAGCCGGUAUCAGGCACAUUUAAUUUAGCCCACGACACCUUGCUCAGCCACACCCUCAAGGGUACUCAGCAGUGAUAAACAUUGACACAUAAGUGAAAACUUGACUCAGUCAAAGCUAAGAAGGGCCGGUAAAACUCGUGCCAGCCACCGCGGUUAUACGGGAGGCCCAAGUUGUUAGAAGUCGGCGUAAAGGGUGGUUAAGAACAAGACUAAGAUUAAAGCCGAACAUCUUCCGAGCUGUUAUACGCAUCCGAAGAUAAGAAGCUCAACUGCGAAAGUAGCUUUAUAUAUUCCGAAU